rfam:Tupaia chinensis contig19779, whole genome shotgun sequence.
UGCAGUCUAGUCAAAUUCAGCCCCAUUCCUUCCAUGGUGGGAGCUGGCCCGAUGGCUGCCACAGCAAGCUCCACAGCUCAUGGGCCCUGGCUCCCCUAUCCUGGGACCUGGGGAUAAGUUUGGCUGUGGACAUGG